rnacentral:rRNA from 1 species
AACGAACGCUGGCGGCAUGCCUAACACAUGCAAGUCGAACGAGAUCUUCGGGUCUAGUGGCGCACGGGUGCGUAACGCGUGGGAAUCUGCCCUUUGGUUCGGAAUAACAGUUGGAAACGACUGCUAAUACCGGAUGAUGACGAAAGUCCAAAGAUUUAUCGCCAGAGGAUGAGCCCGCGUAGGAUUAGCUAGUUGGUGUGGUAAAGGCGCACCAAGGCGACGAUCCUUAGCUGGUCUGAGAGCAUGAUCAGCCACACUGGGACUGAGACACGGCCCAGAAUCCUACGGGAGGCAGCAGUGGGGAAUAUUGGACAAUGGGCGAAAGCCUGAUCCAGCAAUGCCGCGUGAGUGAUGAAGGCCUUAGGGUUGUAAAGCUCUUUUACCCGGGAUGAUACUGACAGUACCGGGAGAAUAAGCUCCGGCUAACUCCGUGCCAGCCGCCGCCGUAA